rnacentral:rRNA from 1 species
GUAUUCCUACGGGGCGCAGCAGUGGGGGAUAUUGCACAAUGGGGGGAACCCUGAUGCAGCGACGCCGCGUGGGUGAAGAAGCGCCUCGGCGCGUAAAGCCCUGUCAGCAGGGAAGAAAAUGACGGUACCUGAAGAAGAAGCCCCGGCUAACUACGUGCCAGCAGCCGCGGUAAUACGUAGGGGGCAAGCGUUAUCCGGAUUUAUUGGGUUUAAAGGGUGCGUAGGCGGAUCGUUAAGUCAGUGGUCAAAUUGAGGGGCUCAACCCCUUCCCGCCAUUGAAACUGGCGCUCUUGAGUGGAAGAGAG